UUCUAUUCCACUGAGUCGAGACUUUGGAUAGUUCACCUGAUUGUAAUACAAAAAACCAAAUCUCACCGCUGGUAAUGGUAGCUGCCAGUUCCAGAAAACUUCUGCCUUGAUGCAAGAGAACAUCAUGAUAUGCCAAGUAUCACACCAGAUGCCACCUCAUCCAUUGUCUUCUUCAGUGGCACAGCCUUUCCAUGAUCUCCAGGAUCUUGUAGAUGUCAGAGACCAUCUCAUCACAGCUGAUGAGGUCCUGGUAGAUGAUCAUGACUAUGGCUGGAGAGAGACUGCAGUGGCACUAGCUUGGCAGCAGCCGGGAGCUCUGAGUGAGAGUGGCACAGCCCCAUAGGUGGGGGUUGGAGGGGGGAGAGAAAGCAAUGUACCUCAACUUUUCAAUGCUAUGUCUAUAAAUCAAUUAAUAAAUAACUUACUAAAAAG
rnacentral:lncRNA from 1 species